AUUGAACGCUGGCGGCAUGCCUUACACAUGCAAGUCGAACGGUAACAGGUCUUCGGAUGCUGACGAGUGGCGAACGGGUGAGUAAUACAUCGGAACGUGCCCGAGAGUGGGGGAUAACGAGGCGAAAGCUUUGCUAAUACCGCAUACGAUCUCGGGAUGAAAGCAGGGGAACGCAAGGCCUUGCGCUCACGGAGCGGCUGAUGGCAGAUUAGGUAGUUGGUGGGAUAAAAGCUUACCAAGCCGACGAUCUGUAGCUGGUCUGAGAGGACGACCAGCCACACUGGGACUGAGACACGGCCCAGACUCCUACGGGAGGCAGCAGUGGGGAAUUUUGGACAAUGGGCGCAAGCCUGAUCCAGCCAUGCCGCGUGCAGGAUGAAGGCCUUCGGGUUGUAAACUGCUUUUGUACGGAACGAAAAGACUCUGGUUAAUACCUGGGGUCCAUGACGGUACCGUAAGAAUAAGCACCGGCUAACUACGUGCCAGCCGCCGCGGUAAAAC
rnacentral:rRNA from 1 species